AUGGCUCUUGGGCGGCUUGCCUCCAGGGUGCGCGGCUCGGCUCUGCAGGUGCGGGCUGCGGCUCCCCGCGCCUCGCCGCCGGCACCCUGCCCAUGCGUUCGUCCGAUGACCUACAGCAGCAAGCCCGUGCAGAAACUGGAGAAUUUGUACACAACAAUUGAGGGUGAGCAGCAGGGCAAGGGACCUUCAAGGCCAAUUGACCUCCUGCGUGAGUCCAAAUGGAGGAAUGCCAAGGACGAUGGCGCUGGCAUCCAUACCUCUGCUCCGCGUGUGCCUCAACCUGCGCCCCGCACAACCCCACUGGCCGGUGGUCAGCCCGUGUCCUGCAGGAGCAUAUCAUCGGAGGUUGUGUCUUUUGGUGUGCCUGCUCUUCCUGUGGCACGCCGCUUGUCGCGUCCGGACAUCACUGCUUAUGGACUGACCACAUUUGGGCCUGGGCAGCAGCGGAGGGGAUUUGCCCAGAUGCCAUUCCAGCCGCUGGACAACAAGACAGCAGCUGCCAUGUACAAUCAGCUUUCUCCAGAAGGUCAAAGCAUAGCAAGCCUCGCCAACGUGGCCGGCAAUGAAGCUGCGAGGAAUAUGGAGUUGUGGAACAAGCAAAAGUUUGACAGCAUUGAUUUGGGCCUCAAGGAGCUGACUGAUGAAAUCACAGUUCUUGGCUUGACGGGUUUGCAUGCGGUAGCUGCAGCAACUGCUGUUGUCUGGUACGUGUAUUUGGUUAUCGAGGAGACCGUGGUAGAGCUGAGUGGCAAGUACAGCAAGAUGGCGGCGGCGCUGCUAAACGGCCUGCUGCGUUCUUUUUUCCCAUGGCUACAUGACAUAUUUGUACCGAAGGAAGAGUCGGGUGAGAAUGGGAAGAGCGAAGCUCCGGCCAAGAAGUAG
rnacentral:rRNA from 1 species